rnacentral:other from 1 species
ACGGGGCUGUGGGGCACGUCAGGCUCACAAUGUCCCCGGGGCCAAUAUCUACCUCUAGGGAGCUGUCCCUGCCGGCACCGUGGUGUCGGUACACGGCGCCCACCUGCGUGAUGCAGGCCACGGAGGACUGUAUACGCCAACGGCCAUUGCGGCUCCGUC